AACCUUUGUGAAGGCUCCCGUUUGUUUGUUUAUUUUGACUCAAGUAUAUGUACAUAUUUGUGACUUAUCGGGGAUAUCAAUAAAUAAGCUUUCCUUCAUUUCAACGUAUUGUGUUAAAUACACCAAAGCCUUCUUCGCUAAGUUCUUUGAAUUUUCUUUUGUUGAAGCUUGUAUGUUGAAGCUUUGUGAGUGGAGCAUGUAGGUUGAGGUAAUGUUCCCUUAAUUUCCCGAGUGAGGAAAACUUCUCGGUUGGAGACUUGGAAAAUCCAAGUCACUGAGUGGGAUCGGCUAUAUGAAUUUUAGAACGCCAUUGUGUUCUGUCCUGUGUCAUAUCCUCCGUUAGAUCCAAGUACUCUAAGUCUUUUCUUAGGGUCUCUUCCAAAGUUUUCCUAGGUCUUCCUCUACCCCUUCGGCCCUGAACCUCUGUCCCAUAGUCGCAUCUUCUAAUCGGAGCGUCAGUAGGCCUUCUUUGCACAUGUCCAAACCACCGUAAUCGAUUUUCUCUCAUCUUUCCUUCAAUUUCGGCUACUCCUACUUUACCCCGGAUAUCUUUAUUCCUAAUCUUAUCCUUUCUCGUGUGCCCACACAUCCAACGAAGCAUCCUCAUCUCCGCUACACCCAUUUUGUGUACGUGUUGAUGCUUCACCGCCCAACAUUCUGUGCCAUACAGCAUCGCUGGCCUUAUUGCCGUCCUAUAAAAUUUUCCCUUGAGUUUCAGUGGCAUACGGUGGUCACAAAACACGCCAGAUGCACUCUUCCACUUCAUCCAUCCAGCUUGUAUUCUAUGGUUGAGAUCUCCAUCUAAUUCUCCGUUCUUUUGCAAGAUAGAUCCUAGGUAACGAAAACGGUUGCUCUUUGGUAUUUCUUAAUCUCCGAUCCUCACCCCUAACUCGUUUUGGCCUCCAUUUGCACUGAACUUGCACUCCAUAUAUUCUGUCUUUGAUCGGCUUAGGCGAAGACCUUUAGAUUCCAACACUUCUCUCCAAAGGUUAAGCUUUGCAUUUACCCCUUCCUGAGUUUCAUCUAUCAACACUAUAUCGUCUGCGAAAAGCAUACACCAAGGAAUAUCAUCUUGAAUAUGUCCUGUUAACUCAUCCAUUACCAACGCAAAAAGGUAAGGACUUAAGGAUGAGCCUUGAUGUAAUCCUACAGUUAUGGGAAAGCUUUCGGUUUGUCCUUCAUGAGUUCUUACGGCAGUCUUUGCUCCUUCAUACAUAUCCUGUAUAGCUUGGAUAUAUGCUAUUCGUACUCCUUUCUUCUCUAAAAUCCUCCAAAGACAUGGGAGCAUGAAGAAAGACCCAAAAUACUAAUCAGUAAAAGGCAUUCCUAUUCCAUACAGGAUACAGAACUAGACGAUAAAUAAUGGGAAGCCUUACAAGAUUUAACUUUAAUUAUCCUCAUGGUUGCUGCAGCGGUCUCUAUGGGUGUUGGAAUUGCAACUGAAGGAAUGCCGAAGGGUAUGUAUGAUGGCUUGGGAAUAAUAGUUAGCAUAUUGUUAGUAGUGUUGGUGACUGCAAUUAGUGACUACAAGCAGUCUCUGCAAUUUAAAGAACUGGACAAGGAGAAGAAAAACAUAAUGGUUCAGGUAACUACAAUUAGUGACUACAAGCAGUCUCUACGAUGAGCCUUUGCCUGUACAUAUCAGAUGCGGCAAAUGGAUCACAUAGUAUUGAGAAUCUCACUCUUGCCUCUUCACAACCUUUCACCCAGUCAACUCAAAUGUUGAAUUUUGAAUGAUAUCUUCUUUGUAUUACCAAGAAUAACAUGCGGAUUACAAGGGUGGAAGAGAUAUUUAAGGAGAUGACAACACCCCUGCUUUUGUUAUCAGUGUGCAGCACCCAUACUUACAAAAUCCUAAACAAAUCUCCACUUACAAAAUGAUGGACUCAAGGAAUAAACAAUAACAGCACUUACAAAAUCCUAGCUAGUAAACACAGAUAGAAUACAUAACCGUUAUAAACGAUAUAGGCACAGAUGGUACUCUGCAUCAUUUUUGGAUGACUGUCAUGAUAAAAAAUAUAUAUAAAUCGAUUGAAGGAACCACAUCUAACCAUAUUUUUCUACAAAUAAACAAAAAUUAGACAAAUAAAAUUGGCAGAAAUCAUGAAAAAAAACGAAAAAAAGGAUAUUAAUCAGCCUAAACCAAAACCGUGAACCAAAAACUCAAGCCUAGUACUAAUUAAAAAGAAUAACAUAAAUGAAGAAUUUAGAAAAGAAAAAAAAAUAUAAAACACGAUAGCAGAUGGAGUGAGAGAGAUAAGAUACGAGCACUGACCUGGAGGUUGGAGUUUUAGAAGAGACUGCGAGAGCUUGAAGAAGACGAUGAAACGGUGUCGUAGAGGGGUGUGCUGAAUCCCAAAAGACGAGGGAACGUCGUAGGACAAAUCAGAAGCAAAGUUCACAGAUAAGAAGUAAAGUAGAGCUUUAUCCUUUCUUAUAUACCUAAACCCUAAGAUAAAUAAGAAGCAAACAUUCUAAAAAAAAAAAAAUAGAGAAGUAUCAAUUUUUCUUACUUCUCUCUCAAUUUUUCUUGUUUCCUCCACAAAAUCUAUUUUUUUUUUCCACAAACCAUAUCACCUUCCCCAAUUAAUUUUUUUCCCUAUCCUCCAUCCCCAAUUUUUUUUCCCGACACCCAAACACUCAUCCCUUUGCUCUCCCCACCCCUCUUUCACUCUCACUCUCCCAUCCCCAAAUUUAAAAAUCCAAACAAAUAAAUAAGGAAAUUUUAGACAAGAGAAGAUUAAUAGAGGAAGGACGCCGAGCCGGAGAACACGACCUGGAGAAUGAGAGAGAUUGCUAGGAUUGAAGUUUUCUGGUUUGGGUUUUGCGAGAGGUGUGCUGAAAGUGUGAGGAAAGGAGGGUAAUUUUGGGCUUAUUGAAAAAUUCAUUACAGAUUUUACUGUUCACCCGUGUUUUUCUAUAAGUUGGUUAUUUGAAGCUGCUUUUUGCAGCUUUAGAUUUUGAGCUUAUUUUCAUCCAAAACUUUGAAAUAAAGUUGAUUUAGAGUGUUUACAAAACACUAAAAACUUUCCCAAUUUUUUUCAAUACAACUUUUUAAAACUCUCCCAAUUUUUUUUUAUGCCCAUUUUUUUUUAAAAAUCACCUUAAUACCCACUUUUUUCAAGGAGCCUCCUGAUUUUAUUCAAGACACUCUCUUAGACGUUUGUAUGCCCCCUUAAUUUCUAAUAAAUUCCGUAUUGUUUCUCUUAAAAAGAAAUAGAAUGACUAUCAAAAAUGGAAACUGGAAAUAUUUGUUAGGUUUAAAAGGCUAAAAAUACAAUCCAGUCUAAAAAUGGGUUCUUUGUCCCUAAGAUGAAAUUGUGAUCACAUGUGAUUCAAGGUUUGUACCACAAACUUACAAUAAUAGUACUCUUUAAAUACUACAAGACAAAUGAUUUUUACAUACUUUUUUUCUCUUUUACACAUUUAUUUAUGUUCCAUAUUUCCUGUUAUGUAUCCAAUAUAAAGGUUACAAGAAAAGAAAAGAGUACGUAGGAAAAGAAGAAUAACAACAACAACAACAACAAAGCCUUUUCCCACUAAGUGGGGUCGGCUAUAUGAAUCCUAGAACGCCAUUGCGCUCGGUUUUGUGUCAUGUCCUCCGUUAGAUCCAAGUACUCAAGUCUUUUCUUAGGGUCUCUUCCAAAGUUUUCCUAGGUCUUCCUCUACCCCAUCGGCCCUGAACCUCUGUCCCGUAGUCACAUUUUCGAACCGGAGCGUCAGUAGGCCUUCUU
rnacentral:lncRNA from 1 species